UUGCACUCUACAAUUGUAUUUGUACUCUUUCCAAACCGAGCCUAAUGAAAUCACACCCAGAAUUUCACCAUCCACUUCUAGCCCACCCCUUGAUCCCUUCAAAGGAGCUCGGGGAGCUGCAACCAACAUUGGAUAUUGCCUUCUAAUUCCUAGGGGUGCAAAUAGAUCCAUCUGAAGUCCAAUCCUAUUUUGUUGGAUUUGGAUAUCCUCAUUUCAGAUUUUUGGAUCAGAUUCAGAUCACCCCUAUCUUCAUUUCUUUAUUUAAACUAUUAUACUUUCUUUUUCUUUUAAUAAUUUAUUAUUUUUUUAAAUUAAAUUGGAUCAAAUUUGGAUAUCCAACAUCCUAAUCAGAUUCGAAUCCAACUCAAUAUUUGUGAGAUCCGAACAAAUCUUCAGAUUGGAUUGGACCUACACUUUAUCAGAUCAAAUUCGGAUAUAUCCUAAUUCAAAUCCGAUCCGAUCCAUUUGCAUCCCUACUAAAUAUAGGGUCAAAUUAUUGACGAGAAACAAUUUGUGAAAAAAUAGGCUCAUUUCAUGUUGUUAGAGUUGCAUUGCAUCGGACAUUUGAACAGAGUGUUCAAGAAAAACCGACUAAGACACCAAUAAUUUGAAAAAAAAAAUCCAAUUAACCAAAUUGAUUUUUUAAAAUAAGAUGAUUCUUUUUUUUUUAUACUUGUGUCGGUGCUAUACAAUUGGGUGGCCCAUCCCCAUACACUUAGCCCCUUAACCCACCCUACAAACAUCCAUAGAUCCCACCAACUAAGAUACCAUCAAUUGGUAGUUAACCAAAUUGCAUUGGAGUUAUUAUUUAAUGCUACAUUGAUUAGUGCAAGUUUAGAAAGGGAAUCAGGUUAAAAUUACCGAAUUAGAAUGGGGUGGUUGACAACAACGUUAGGGAGUUUGGAGAUAGGGCCUUGUUUAUCUUUUCUAUUUAAUAGCAUGCCCACCCUAGAAUCAGCUUAGCUAGAGGUAGGGUCCAGCGGUUGGAAGAGCAUUGCAUGUCGCGUGGUGUCUGGUGUGUCCCCAAAAGACCUUAUAAAUUUGGAGGACCAAGUGCCGACUACACUUAGUUGUACUCAUAAUUGCAUCAGGUUUCCAAGGUGAACAACCUCUAGUGGAAGGAACAAUGUAGGCAAGGGAAGUUAGUAUAAUGGAUCCGUAACCUUGGGACAAAAGGAUGGGCUCUAAGUGCUACGCAUGGGGUCUUGAUCCCGAACCCAUCAGUUGUUGGCAAGCUGCUUGAGCUACUUUCGUGGCGAGGGCGGGUCGCCACGUGUUGGCUGGGGAAUGGCUCCCUUGGGGGCCUUCCCCAGGCGUUGAACAGUAGACUCAAAACUAGUAUAGACAGGGGGAAUCCAAAUGUUUAAUUAAAACAAAGCAUUGUGAUGGUCCCUACAUAUACUAACACAAUGUGAUUCCUACCCAAUGCUCUAAAUGUCAAAGUGAAGAAACUCAACCAAGCGCAGGCAAAUGAUGGAGUAACUAUGACUUUCUUAAGGUAUCCAAAUGCUUGGUCAUCUAAUUAGUUGUGUUCAUGAAUGGAUUAAUGAGAUUCCCAUUGUUUCUGUCUACUAUCUAGUGAAACCACAACCAAGGAAAUGGGCUUGGCGGAAUUAGUAGGGAAAGAAGACCCUGUUGAGUUUGACUUUUGUCCGACUUUAUAAAAUGACUUGAGAGGUGUGAAAUACCAUUACUUUUAAUGUUAUUUUACUUAUUCCGUUAGUCAGAGGCAGGACAUUGCCCCUCCUUUUAGACCCAAGGCUCACAUCGAUGGACCAAUCUAGGCAGAGGACAUUAUCAGGUGGGGAGUUUGGAUGGGGCAACACAUUUGUUAAAAGAUAGCAUAGGUGUCCUAAAAUAAGCUCAACAAGAACAGAAAAUCUCGUAUGGAAAAAAAGGGUCGCAACUCAUUUGAUUCUGAUGUAUAGUACGAAUACAGACCAUGAAAAUGUAGCUAUGGAUCCUUUAGACUUUCGGAAUUUGAAAAUAGAGAUGUUAGAAAAGUUACCACAAGUAUAAUUAGCUUGUGGCAACCAAACAUUCAUAGCGACAUUGCUUUUUAAUCCUUUGAUGUCGGCUUUUCCUAUCAUUAUGAAGUAGAAUUCACUAAUAUCGUGUUUGGUUUGAAGGAAAAAAUAGGGAAAGAAAGGGAAACACAUGGAAACCUUUACAAACCUUGUACUGGUUUCCUUACAUUUUCCUACCUUUUCCUUCAAACCAAACAUAGCCUAAGUGUUAGAUUGUUCGCCCAUUAAUAAGGAACGUGAACUGGGUUUACACCAUUGUGAAAUAGGUUAGUUUUACCCUACUAAUGGCAAUGUUGUGAUAGUAAUUCAACAUAGUAUGAGAGGAAACAUUGAUUCACACAAUUGGCCAUUGCACUUGGUUGAAAAGCUAGUGGUGCGAAGCUACCGUGUGCCAGAUUAUGAUUAAACACCUCUAAGUCAAAAUCUUAGCUAAACAUGUGACGUGUGCGCUUGUUGCUCGAUUGCCAACCCAUAAUAGGGCCUUUAGGCCCCUAAAGGCACAUGCCAUUGGUGAAACCCUUCUGACAAACAAGCCAUGUAGACUGUUUUGAAAUGCAAUUCCUAUUGAGCAGCGGGUAGAAUCU
rnacentral:rRNA from 1 species